UAUUGUCAAUGCUCCUAACAGUACUUGCUAUUGUGUUUUCGCUGGGGUUUUGUUUAAGAGGUGUCUAUAGGAAAAGGAUGCACGAUAUGAUUGAAGCUUGGUUCCUGUUCAAUUUGUGUGUCAUGGUUGGUCUAUCUGUAGUUUAUACUGAUGACAGUGCAGUAAGGAUCUGGUUCAACAUUUGCUUAUCUCUCUUUUCCUUUAGUUUCAUGCUAAUUGCUUUGUAUCACCUCUACUUGCAGCUAUCACAAACAAAAUGGUACGAUACUCUAAGGAAGAAAUCAUUCAGUCGACUACAAGUGCAUAGAUACGAAGAUGACGAGCCUCUUUUAGACUUAACUGAGUCGCACAAAACUGUUGAUGAGCAAAAGAACGAAAUUAUACCAAGCUCCACAGAUAUUUUCAGACAUGAUAGUCGCGAAUCUGUUGUUGAUCUGUUUUGAACUGUGUUGUUGAUCUGUUUUGAACUGUGUCUAGCUAGUAUUAAAAAAUAUUGUGAUUGUUUUGUCAAUUUAUCAGUCUCAUUUGUUGCUGUUUAUUGAUUUAAUAUUAUUUGCUUUUAAGACCAAUUUUUCAUAAAAAUAAUUGCUAUAUUUAUUAUGUUGUAGAUGUACUCAGUGGGUUAGUGAUGAGUUUAGGCAGUCAUUGGAAUCAUUUGAGUCCUCUUGGUAUCCUCAUGAAGUAGCUUAUCUUCAGUCAUCAUUUGAUCUUAAUCCUCUGUUCACUCCACCCUCAACCACACCCACUGUACCAAGGAAAGAACCAGUCAUUGACUCACUGUGCUCAGUUUUAUGCGACAUUUUGAGUUCACACUGUCAUAAUCUUUCACAGCCACUUCAAUCACUAUUGAAAGAGGUUUCCUCUCACUUGAAGGAUCCAAUAUGGUCUGAAGCUGAUUCCUCCUACUAUCAAACUGUUGUGAAAACUCACCUUAAACACUUGUCAUCAUUAGUCAGUGAUUCACUUGCUACCGAGUUUAAAGAUUACAUUCAGUCAUUUAUUCCACUAGAAGCUGUUGAUGAUAUUAUUUGGGUCGUUGGCCAAAUUUCAUCAAAAAUGACUAGGA
rnacentral:lncRNA from 1 species